rnacentral:rRNA from 1 species
CACAGAGUUAGCCGGUGCUUAUUCUGCGAGUAACGUCCACUAUCCAGUAGUAUUAAUACUAGUAGCCUCCUCCUCGCUUAAAGUGCUUUACAACCAAAAGGCCUUCUUCACACACGCGGCAUGGCUGGAUCAGGCUUCCGCCCAUUGUCCAAUAUUCCCCA